rnacentral:rRNA from 1 species
GGAAGGGGUGUAUUUAUUAGAUAAAACCACGGGGGUUUCGCGGUUCACUUGUGAAUUCAUAAUACCUUUCGAAAUCGCAUGGCCUUGCGCCGGCGAUGCUUCAUUCAAAUAUCUGCCCUAUCAACUUUCGACGGUAGGAUAGAGGCCUACCAUGGUUUUAACGGGUAACGGAAAUUAGGGUUCGAUUCCGGAGAGGGAGCCUGAGAAAUGGCUACCACAUCCAAGGAAGGCAGCAGGCGCGCAAAUUACCCAAUCCCGACACGGGGAGGUAGUGACGAUAAAUAACAAUGUGGGGCCCUUCGGGUCUCACAAUUGGAAUGAGUACAAUUUAAAUCCCUUAACGAGGAACAAUUGGAGGGCAAGUCUGGUGCCAGCAGCCGCGGUAAUUCCAGCUCCAAUAGCGUAUAUUAAAGUUGCUGCGGUUAAAAAGCUCGUAGUUGGAUUUUGGAACCUGAAUGGUUGGUCGGGCACUCCCUGUACUGACCAUUCGGUUCUUCUGUCUGGAGACUCCUCGUUCCUUCUUAACUGAAGGGCUUGGGGAACCAGGACUUUUAC